rnacentral:rRNA from 1 species
UACGUAGGGUGCAAGCGUUAAUCGGAAUUACUGGGCGUAAAGCGUGCGCAGGCGGUUGUGCAAGACAGAUGUGAAAUCCCCGGGCUCAACCUGGGAAUUGCAUUUGUGACUGCACGGCUAGAGUGUGUCAGAGGGGGGUAGAAUUCCACGUGUAGCGGUGAAAUGCGUAGAGAUGUGGAGGAAUACCGAUGGCGAAGGCAGCCCCCUGGGAUAACACUGACGCUCAUGCACGAAAGCGUGGGGAGCAAACCAGG